AUGGCGGCGGCUGGCGGGUUGGGCGGCCUUUUGCCCGCGCAGUCCCAGUUGGACUUCGCUCUUGAGGAUGCGCCAACGCUUCAGGAAAAGGAGAAUCUGGUAUAUCAGCACCUGCGAAAGGUGGAUACCUGGGAGCGGGAUUUGAAAGUGCCCGAGUUCGGAACAGAUCUGCAGUGGCUGAACACUGAAGGCUCCCUUUCUCUGUACAGAGACCUUUGUGGGAAAGUGGUAAUCUUAGAUUUCUUCACUUACUGCUGCAUCAAUUGCAUCCACUUGCUGCCUGAUCUCCAUGAGUUAGAACAGAAGUACUCUGCUAAAGAUGGUCUCCUUGUUGUUGGUGUCCACUCAGCAAAAUUUCCAAAUGAAAAGGUUCUGGAUAACAUCAAGAGUGCUGUUCUUAGAUACAACAUCACUCAUCCUGUGGUAAAUGAUGCUGAUGCAACCCUCUGGCAUGAGCUAGAAGUGUCCUGCUGGCCAACCUUGGUCAUUGUUGGACCCCGUGGGAAUAUGCUCUUCACUCUGGUGGGCGAAGGACACAAGGACAAAUUAUUUCUAUUUACAUCCAUAGCCCUAAAGUAUUACCGGAAGCAAGGACAAAUCAAUGCUAAUACAAUUAGAACACAGCUCUAUAGAGACUCUUUGUCACCUUCGCCUUUGUUGUUUCCUGGCAAAGUCGCUCUGGAUGGCACUGGAGGUAGAUUGAUAAUAGCAGAUACUGGGCAUCAUAGGAUUUUGGUUGUCAGAAAAAAUGGUCAAAUACUGCACAUUGUUGGAGGUCCAAACAGUGGAAGAAAAGAUGGAACAUUUUCAGAAGCAUCAUUUAGUUCACCACAGGGGGUGGCCAUAAAGAACAAUGUUAUUUAUGUAGCAGAUACAGAAAAUCAUCUGAUUAGAAAGAUUGACCUGGAUUUAGAGAUGGUAAGCACUGUUGCAGGAGUUGGAAUGCAAGGCACGGAUAAGGAAGGAGGAGCCAAAGGAGGUGAACAGCCAAUUAGUUCACCGUGGGAUGUAGCCUUUGGAAGUUCAGCAACCCAUGACGAUGGUUUUCUGUGGAUUGCCAUGGCAGGUACACAUCAAAUCUGGGCCCUCAUGUUGGAAUGCGGAAAACUGCCCAAAGGAAGUGAUUUAAAGAAAGGAACCUGCCUUCGGUUUGCCGGGAGUGGAAACGAAGAGAACCGAAACAAUGCAUAUCCCCAUAAAGCAGGCUUUGCACAGCCUUCCGGACUAUCUGUUGCUGCUGAAGAGCCAUGGAACUGUCUUUUUGUAGCAGACAGUGAGAGCAGUACUGUGCGAACAAUUUCUCUGAAAGAUGGAGCGGUGAAACACCUUGUUGGAGGAGAGAGAGACCCAAUGAAUUUAUUUGCCUUUGGUGAUAUUGAUGGAGCUGGGAUAAAUGCAAAGCUGCAGCAUCCCUUAGGAGUAGCCUGGGACAAGAAAAGAAGCCUCCUGUAUGUUGCAGAUUCCUACAAUCAUAAGAUUAAAUUUGUAGAUCCCAAAAUGAAGAAUUGUGCUACAUUGGCAGGUACAGGAGAAGCUAGCAAUGUCAUCGGUUCCAGCUUCACCUCCUCAACUUUUAAUGAACCAGGAGGCCUGUGUGUUGAAGAUGGAGGACGUUUGCUCUAUAUUGCAGACACAAAUAAUCAUCAAAUUAAAGUGCUAGAUUUAGAAACCAAAAUUGUUUCACUGCUACCUCUUCUAAAGGCUGACACAGUAGACACUGUUGAUAGUCACUGUGUGCAAAAGACUAACAUGGCAAAUAUACCAAAGCUGCCUAAAUCUGCUCCAGUUCUUCAGCUACCUUCACUUACUGUAAGCCCUGGCCAAGCACUUCACUUUACACUGAAACUCAGCCUUCCUCCAAAUACCAAACUGACUGAAGAAGCACCCAGUUCAUGGUUUCUCACAUCAGAAGGCAGUGAGUGGCUGCUUCAUGAACAGAGCACAUCUGGAGAAAUUGAGGACAUUUAUAAACAGCCUGUAAUCCCAUUUCAGAUUCCCAUGAGCUGCCUAUCUGCUGAAGUUGUAUUGUCAAUCAAAGUGUGCCUCUAUUACUGUAGCAAGGACAGCAGUGUCUGUUUGAUGAAAGGAAUCUCAUUCAACCAGCUUUUCCAUAUAGCCAGUGUAAACCAAGGUAGCACAGCUCCGAUAGAGCUCAUAUAUGCAUUUUAACUAAACCAAAGCAAAAGGAGACACACCUAUAUUUUUAACACAAGGAGAAGAUACAUUUGUCAACUUGUGGGUUGUGCCCCCUUUUACAUCUGGUCUUCCAGCAGAGUGCAACAAACUCAGCCAUGAAUUUCAGUUCCAAGUUUACCUUGAAAGCUUGUGGAAAAUAUAUCUGCUUCAUCAGAUGAAGUACAAAUGCACUAUGCUGAAUCAUGAAAAAUGGAAUAAAAUUCUAGACCUUUAUUUCUUUAUAGUAUGAGCAAUACAUGAUGAAGUGAGUUUGGAACACUGUAUGAAUAGUGGGAUAAUCCUAAACAAGGAUCAACUGUCCCAUCUUGAAUGUUCAUUCUUAAUGCUGUAAUGUUUUAUAAGAUUUUUUUUCUAUGUAUGGUCAAAUCCAUACACAAAAGCCUAAGUGUAUUUUUCCUCUUGAAUUUAUAGUUAAAGCACAAAGCAUUUUGGUUUUCUGGAUUAUAAACACUGUGUUUUCCUAUUAAUAUAAUGUAUUUCUUAAACUGACAUCUUAACUGAAAGUACAUUAGGCUUAUUUUUAUAGAAAUAUAUUCUAUCAUAUCAAACUAAUAUUAAUGCCUUAUAUUAAUGGUAGAACAAUUUAUGAAAGGUCUAGUAGAUGUAUCAGAGCUUGCUGCGUUAUGAAAUAGAAAACGUAUCUGCGUAUCACUGACAUCCUGUAUUUUUUCCUAACUGCCAUGUCCAUUCACAUAUAAUGGUGAAAUUUCAGAAUUUAAUAGCUUUAGACUAAAGUUACUGUUGAAAAUAAUCUUUCCAAUCACCAUCCUUACACAAAAUAAGAAAGCAACAAAUAUUAAAACUGAACCAAUGCAUUUUUAAAAAUAAGGUUUUACAAAACAAGCAUCUUUUUAAAAGUAUAUUCGAAGAAUAUUUACACAUGAUUUACAUCAAAGUGGUAUAUUUUUCUUUGCAAUAGCUAAGUGAAUUCAUAUUUGUAUUUAGGAACAGUAUGUUGUUUUUAAUAGCCUUUCAUCUGAACUCGUUCACAACAAUAUCAAAACCUGGGAAUUAAAUGGCCAACGUUAUUGGUUAUAGAUUUUGCCUGUUCUACAGCUAUCUAAAAUGUUUCUGAAGAAUUAUCAAAAGGGUGUUUGAAGGUGCUCUCCAGAUGUUUGGCACUACAACUCCCAUAAUAACUGGCUAGUGGCCGUGCUGGCUGGGGUUUAUGGGAGUUGUAGUGCAAAACGUUUGGAUGGCACCAGAUUACUCAUCCCUGUAAUAUUACUUAUAUUACACAUGAACAUGGUGAAAGGAAAGGUAAUAACAGUGGUAGAGCAAAUCCUUUCAUGUCCUACAGUUUGGGGCUCUGUGUUGAGAGCCAUAUGGUUUUCCUUUCUCUUUAAGAUUACUUGCCAGCAUAACUGAGAGUUAAAAGGUCACUCAAAUACCCCAAAAUAGCAGUAUUCCCUCCAGCACUGUAUAGAAUUUGAAUAUUUCAGCAACCUCCUAGCAUAUCAUUCAGGUCAGGUUUUGAAACUCUUUUAAGUAAGUUUGUACAUGUGACAAAGAAAUAAUAGACAUGGAAUUUUCUUUGUUAUUUUGGAAGUGUUUUUCAGAGUCAGGAAGAAAUGUGCUCUAUUCCUGAGCAACAAAACUAGUGAAAGUUAUCAGUGAGUUCUUUUUAAUAAAGGUAUUGCUGUUGUUGUUGCUGUUUUGUAAUGCUAUCUUAGAAUCCAGGAACUAGAUCAUACAUUUUCAGUCAGGACGUUUAAAAAUGUUUGUUGUUUGCAUAGAACUCUUGGCUGAAAAGGACUGUUCUUUUAACUCAGGAAAUUGAUGGGAUUUCGCCAUUCCCUUUGGAUAGGAUAGUAGAAAUGUUUGUUUAACUAAUGCCAUCAAUUAAAAAAGGGGUUUUUGUUUAUCAAUAGAGGAUGUUGAAAAGCAGUAUAUACUGCAUGGCAACAUUUAAAAUGUUGACAAGUUUUAUGUGUGAACUUGUUACUCAAUCCCAAUUUUUUAUUAAUCAGCACUAAGGACACUUGUUUGUGGGCCUAGUGUCUGUCUGCCCAUUUUUUCAUGAGUAAAUAAAUAAUCCAAGAAAGUGAUAAUUUGAAACAGCAGUUGCACUCCAUAAAAAUGAUAAAUGUUGCAUAAUCUUCUUAACUUUACUUAUUUCCAUUUAGUGUGUUGGAUUGGAAUCCAAUUUCAGAAUACAGAAAAGUAUUUCAGAGUAACGGUACCAGUUUCAGAGUAUAAUUCAUUUAUUUCUUAAUUAAGUACAUUUAUAUCCCUUUCUUGCCACCACAGAACUCAAGGGGUGUGUAUGUGGCUUCUUGAUCACCUAUACAAGCACUGACCAGACCCACACUUAUUUAGCUUCAGCAAGGUGGCUACAUCAUGUGACCUGGGAAACCUUUGAAAAACUAGUUUUAAUAGGCUUACAGCACAACUCUCUAACUGUCAACUCAGAAAUACGUCCCAUUGAGUUCAGUGGGACAAACUCCUACAUAUGUGGGUAUAGGAUUGCAGCCUUUAUACCAUUCACCCACAUUGCAGGACGAGCUGUUUUUCAAUCCCUUCUGGUUUGAACAUGUAGUUUCCAACAUUGAUUGGUUCUUAGGAAAUAAAAUUCGUUACAUCUUGAUUUUAGCAAGGACUGUAGUUUCAAGGCUUGAUAAGUUAUUCUAUUUAUUAAAUUAAUUUCUUUGUUCCUUUGUCUUGACACGCUUGUAUCAAAUAUUACAAAGUUAAGAACUCUAGUCUAGAAGGUCUGUAUAGCUGUAAUUAUUAUUUGAGCUUCCUCUU